rnacentral:rRNA from 1 species
UACGGGGGGGGCAAGCGUUGUUCGGAAUUACUGGGCGUAAAGGGCUCGUAGGCGGCCAACUAAGUCGGACGUGAAAUCCCUCAGCUUAACUGGGGAACUGCGUCCGAUACUGGAUGGCUUGGAUUCGGGAGAGGGAUGCAGAAUUCCAGGUGUAGCGGUGAAAUGCGUAGAUAUCUGGAGGAAUACCGGUGGCGAAGGCGGCAUCCUGGACCGACAUUGACGCUGAGGAGCGAAAGCUAGGGGAGCAAACGGG